GCCAGGUGUGGUGGUGAGCAUCUGUAGUCCCAGCUACUUGAGAGGCUGAGGUGGGAGGAUUGCUUGAGCCCAGGAGUUCUGGGCUGUAGUGCGCUAUGCCGAUCGGGUGUCCACACUAAGUUCGGCAUCAAUAUGGUGACCUCCCAGGAGCGGGGGACCACCAGGUUGCCUGGUGGGUGAACCGGCCCAGGUCGAAAACAGAGCAGGUCAAAACUCCCAUACUAAUUAGUAGUGGGAUCACGCCUGUGAAUGGCCACGGCACUCCAGCCUGGGCAACAUAGCAAGUCCCCAUCUCUU
ensembl:misc_RNA Metazoa_SRP Metazoan signal recognition particle RNA